GACGUAGGGCGCGAGCGUUGUCCGGAUUUAUUGGGCGUAAAGAGCUCGUAGGCGGCUUGUCGCGUCGUCCGUGAAAACCCAUGGCUCAACUGUGGGCUUGCGGUCGAUACGGGCAGGCUGGAGUUCGGUAGGGGAGACUGGAAUUCCUGGUGUAGCGGUGAAAUUCGUAGAUAUCAGGAGGAAUACCUGCGGCGAAGGCGGCUUCCUGGCUCAUUACUGACGUUCAGGUACGAAAGCGUGGGUAGCAAACAGG
rnacentral:rRNA from 1 species